UAGGGAAUCUUCGGCAAUGGGGGCAACCCUGACCGAGCAACGCCGCGUGAGUGAAGAAGGUUUUCGGAUCGUAAAGCUCUGUUGUAAGUCAAGAACGAGUGUGAGAGUGGAAAGUUCACACUGUGACGGUAGCUUACCAGAAAGGGACGGCUAACUACGUGCCAGCAGCCGCGGUAAUACGUAGGUCCCGAGCGUUGUCCGGAUUUAUUGGGCGUAAAGCGAGCGCAGGCGGUUUGAUAAGUCUGAAGUUAAAGGCUGUGGCUCAACCAUAGUUCGCUUUGGAAACUGUCAAACUUGAGUGCAGAAGGGGAGAGUGGAAUUCCAUGUGUAGCGGUGAAAUGCGUAGAUAUAUGGAGGAACACCGGUGGCGAAAGCGGCUCUCUGGUCUGUAACUGACGCUGAGGCUCGAAAGCGUGGGGAGCGAACAGGAUUAGAUACCCUGGUAGUCCACGCCGUNNCGAUGAGUGCUAGGUGUUGGAUCCUUUCCGGGAUUCAGUGCCGCAGCUAACGCAUUAAGCACUCCGCCUGGGGAGUACGACCGCNAGGUU
rnacentral:rRNA from 1 species